UCACCAAAUGUGGGAAUUUCCAGCAAAGUUUAGGGACUUUCUACUGUGUCACACCUGUGCGUGAAUGUUGUGGCAAAGGGAAAGGACAUGAGAAACUCACCACUCUCGUACCAUUUGUAGUAUUUUAUUUGCCCAACAAAAUGAUUCAUACUGGUACAAGACCUAAUUGAGUUUCUCAACAUCUGGACUCAUUCCGAGCUUAUAAAACAUCAAUAUGGAAGUUUGAACUUCGAAACACUAAUCAAACCUACAUAUAGUGGGAAAAACGAAUUUUCAUGCUCAACAGCACGGUUGUGUGUCUUCGCGCUGAUAAGGGGCGCCAAUCAAACGCCAGUAGAAAAAGGGGCACAGAUUACAGAGUCCAUCAACUACGGCACGUCUCAGUUUGCCUGCUCUUCAGGCAUUGUACUACCACCACCACAAAACACUCCCAUCCACCCUUUUUUCCGCGGGCAGCCUACUUUUGCCUAUCAGUUCCCUUAUAACCCUACAGAGAAAGAGAGAGAGUGAGAGAGAGCGUAGAAAAGUAUAGUAAACAAACCGAUGGCAGUAGUGUUCAACCCUCGCACAACAGCACACUUUUGCAAACUGCGUCCAUGGCCCGCAUUACAUGGACCGCACCCGAAGUGGCCACCCUUAAUUGUGUUGCAAAAAGUUACACUCCGUCUGUGUCUGUGUGUGUGUGUGUGUAACGUGGGGUUUGGCGUUACAAUUGACAAACCCGUGGCGGGCCGCGUGUGAGAUGCCCGGCCCCGGAGUCACAUGGAUGGUGCAGUCUGUCUUCCACGGAUGCCGUACACAUUACAAAGCUUUAACUGUUGCUGACUGUGCACAUAUCUACACUACGUAGCAAAACCAUGACUCCAUCACGUGUUCGGGGAAAUAGAUCAAAAAACGGCUGUCAGCGACUGACUGCUUUAAGGCUGAUAGGGAAAAGAAUGAUGGACCCAUUGGAACGUGUUUGCGCAAAACAAUAACAAAACAUCGCUUAUUUUGUAUUGCAAAAAGAAGGGAGCAAAACAAAAAAAACCCACCCGGCCUUUUACUGCAGAGAAAAAACAGAAAACAAAUAUCAAUGAAAGAAACUCAUUUUCUGCCACGGAAUAGAAGCUGGGGUUUUCUUCUUGGGGGUCGUUUGUUUUUUUUUUGCUUACAGAGAAAGAAGCUUAUUCAUCCCCAAAACGGGGCAAGCUCGAAUGGGGCAAGCAGAGUGAGUUGAACAGUAGAAAAGGCUAUACAAAAGCAAAGCAUAAAACAAAUGUACGGCAGAAGAAGAGAAAAAUAUUUCUCAGCGAGAUCUUGACGCCGACUUGCUGCAGCAGCUGCUGCUGUUGUGUUUGCUGCAGCUCACUGUGAUUCGAUGCAAUGGAAUGCACUGUAAUCCCCCCCCCCCCAAGAAUUGUGUACGUGUGUGGGCGACCGGACCGUUUGCCAAGGGAAAUCCCACGUUCAAGCAAAAA